GGACGAACGCUGGCGGUAUGCUUAACACAUGCAAGUCGAACGAGAAGGAAGAGCUUGCUCUUCCUGAAAGUGGCGAACGGGUGAGUAACGCGUGGGUAACCUACCCUUUGGAAAGGAAUAGCCUCGGGAAGCUGGGAGUAAUGCCUUAUAAGAUACGUUUGUCGCAUGGCAUUUGUAUUAAACGCUCCGGCGCCAUAGGAUGGACCCGCGUCCCAUUAGCUAGUUGGUGAGAUAACAGCUCACCAAGGCCACGAUGGGUAACCGGUCUGAGAGGGCGAACGGUCACACUGGAACUGAGACACGGUCCAGACUCCUACGGGAGGCAGCAGUGGGGAAUAUUGCGCAAUGGGGGCAACCCUGACGCAGCAAUACCGCGUGAGUGAAGAAGGUUUUCGGAUCGUAAAGCUCUGUUAUUGGGGAAGAAAAAAAGACGGUACCCAAGAAGAAAGUUCCGGCUAACUACGUGCCAGCAGCCGCGGUAAUACGUAGGGAACAAGCGUUGUCCGGAUUUACUGGGCGUAAAGGGCACGCAGGCGGUUUUUUAAGUCAGAUGUGAAAGGCCACAGCUCAACUGUGGACAUGCAUUUGAAACUGAAAGACUUGAGUAUUGGAGAGGCAAGUGGAAUUCCUAGUGUAGCGGUGAAAUGCGUAGAUAUUAGGAGGAACACCGGUGGCGAAGGCGGCUUGCUGGACAAAUACUGACGCUGAGGACGAACGCUGGCGGUAUGCUUAACACAUGCAAGUCGAACGAGAAGGAAGAGCUUGCUCUUCCUGAAAGUGGCGAACGGGUGAGUAACGCGUGGGUAACCUACCCUUUGGAAAGGAAUAGCCUCGGGAAGCUGGGAGUAAUGCCUUAUAAGAUACGUUUGUCGCAUGGCAUUUGUAUUAAACGCUCCGGCGCCAUAGGAUGGACCCGCGUCCCAUUAGCUAGUUGGUGAGAUAACAGCUCACCAAGGCCACGAUGGGUAACCGGUCUGAGAGGGCGAACGGUCACACUGGAACUGAGACACGGUCCAGACUCCUACGGGAGGCAGCAGUGGGGAAUAUUGCGCAAUGGGGGCAACCCUGACGCAGCAAUACCGCGUGAGUGAAGAAGGUUUUCGGAUCGUAAAGCUCUGUUAUUGGGGAAGAAAAAAAGACGGUACCCAAGAAGAAAGUUCCGGCUAACUACGUGCCAGCAGCCGCGGUAAUACGUAGGGAACAAGCGUUGUCCGGAUUUACUGGGCGUAAAGGGCACGCAGGCGGUUUUUUAAGUCAGAUGUGAAAGGCCACAGCUCAACUGUGGACAUGCAUUUGAAACUGAAAGACUUGAGUAUUGGAGAGGCAAGUGGAAUUCCUAGUGUAGCGGUGAAAUGCGUAGAUAUUAGGAGGAACACCGGUGGCGAAGGCGGCUUGCUGGACAAAUACUGACGCUGA
rnacentral:rRNA from 1 species